rnacentral:rRNA from 1 species
CACCGCGGUUAUACGAGAGGCCCAAAUUGAAAGACACCGGCGUAAAGCGUGGUUAAAUUAAAAUUAAACUAAAGUUAAAUAUCUUUAAGGCUGUCAUACGUGCCCAAAGACUGGAACUUCAAUCACGAAAGUAACUUUAUGUAAACUGAACCCACAAAAGCUAUAACC